rnacentral:rRNA from 1 species
GAUAGUGAGCUGACCACGUAGAUAGCACCAGUUUUCUUUAAAUUACCGAAGUUAGACUACAUUGGGCCCCGUUAGUAUUUGAAUGGGUGACCGGUUGGAAAUACCGGGUUUUGAUGACA